rnacentral:rRNA from 1 species
UACAGAGGUCCCGAGCGUUGUUCGGAUUCACUGGGCGUAAAGGGUGCGUAGGUGGUGAGGUAAGUCGGAUGUGAAAUCUCCGGGCUCAACCCGGAAACUGCAUUGGAAACUACCUUGCUUGAGGAUUUGAGGGGGGAUUGGAAUACUUGGUGUAGCAGUGAAAUGCGUAGAUAUCAAGUGGAACACCAGUGGCGAAGGCGAAUCCCUGGAAAGUACCUGACACUGAGGCACGAAAGCUAGGGGAGCAAACAGG